GUCGGUAAAACUCGUGCCAGCCACCGCGGUUAGACGAAUGGCUCAAGUUGACAAAAUACGGCGUAAAGAGUGGUUAGGGAAUACUAAAACUAAAGCUGAAUACCUUCCAAGCUGUUAUACGCUUAUGAAGCGAAUGAAGCCCAACUACGAAAGUGGCUUUAUUACACCUGAACCCACGAAAGCUAAGAAACAAACUGGGAUUAGAUACCCCACUAUG
rnacentral:rRNA from 1 species